rnacentral:rRNA from 1 species
AUUGAACGCUGGCGGCAGGCCUAACACAUGCAAGUCGAGCGGAUGAAGGGAGCUUGCUCCUGGAUUCAGCGGCGGACGGGUGAGUAAUGCCUAGGAAUCUGCCUGGUAGUGGGGGGUAACGUCCGGAAACGGGCGCUAAUACCGCAUACGUCCUGAGGGAGAAAGUGGGGGAUCUUCGGACCUCACGCUAUCAGAUGAGCCUAGGUCGGAUUAGCUAGUUGGUGGGGUAAAGGCCUACCAAGGCGACGAUCCGUAACUGGUCUGAGAGGAUGAUCAGUCACACUGGAACUGAGACACGGUCCAGACUCCUACGGGAGGCAGCAGUGGGGAAUAUUGGACAAUGGGCGAAAGCCUGACCCAGCCAUGCCGCGUGUGUGAAGAAGGUCUUCGGAUUGUAAAGCACUUUAAGUUGGGAGGAAGGGCAGUAAGUUAAUACCUUGCUGUUUUGACGUUACCAACAGAAUAAGCACCGGCUAACUUCCUG